rnacentral:rRNA from 1 species
ACGGGAGGCAGCAGUGGGGGAUAUUGCACAAUGGGCGAAAGCCUAAUGCAGCGACGCCGCGUGAGCGAAGAAGUAUUUCGGUAUGUAAAGCUCUAUCAGCAGGGAAGAUAAUGACGGUACCUGACUAAGAAGCACCGGCUAAAUACGUGCCAGCAGCCGCGGUAAUACGUAUGGUGCAAGCGUUAUCCGGAUUUACUGGGUGUAAAGGGAGCGUAGGCGGUUUUACAAGUCUGAAGUGAAAGCCCGGGGCUCAACUCCGGUAUUGCAUUGGAAACUGUAGAACUAGAGUGUCGGAGGGGUAAGUGGAAUUCCUAGUGUAGCGGUGAAAUGCGUAGAUAUUAGGAGGAACACCAGUGGCGAAGGCGGCUUACUGGACGAUUACUGACGCUGAGGCUCGAAAGCGUGGGGAGCAAACAGGAUUAGAUACCCUGGUA